AUUGAACGCUGGCGGCAUGCCUUACACAUGCAAGUCGAACGGCAGCGGACCUUCGGGUGCCGGCGAGUGGCGAACGGGUGAGUAAUAUAUCGGAACGUACCUUUCAGUGGGGGAGUAACGUAGCGAAAGUUACGCUAAUACCGCAUAUUCUGUGAGCAGGAAAGCAGGGGAUCGCAAGACCUUGCGCUGAUUGAGCGGCCGAUAUCAGAUUAGCUAGUUGGUGAGGUAAAGGCUCACCAAGGCGACGAUCUGUAGCGGGUCUGAGAGGAUGAUCCGCCACACUGGAACUGAGACACGGUCCAGACUCCUACGGGAGGCAGCAGUGGGGAAUUUUUGGACAAUGGGCGCAAGCCUGAUCCAGCCAUGCCGCGUGAGUGAAGAAGGCCUCGGUUGUAA
rnacentral:rRNA from 1 species